UACAGAGGGGGCUAGCGUUAUUCGGAAUUAUUGGGCGUAAAGGGCGCGUAGGCGGCCAUGCGUGUCUUCCGUGAAAUCCCUCGGCUUAACUGAGGACGUGCGGAAGAAACUGCAAGGCUCGAGUCCGGGAGAGGGGGGUGGAAUUCCAGGUGUAGCGGUGAAAUGCGUAGAUAUCUGGAGGAACACCGGUGGCGAAGGCGACGUCCUGGACCGGCAUUGACGCUGAGGCGCGAAAGCUAGGGGAGCAAACGGG
rnacentral:rRNA from 1 species